GAUGAACGCUGGCGGCGUGCCUAAUACAUGCAAGUCGAGCGAACAGACGAGGAGCUUGCUCCUCUGACGUUAGCGGCGGACGGGUGAGUAACACGUGGAUAACCUACCUAUAAGACUGGGAUAACUUCGGGAAACCGGAGCUAAUACCGGAUAAUAUAUUGAACCGCAUGGUUCAAUAGUGAAAGACGGUUUUGCUGUCACUUAUAGAUGGAUCCGCGCCGCAUUAGCUAGUUGGUAAGGUAACGGCUUACCAAGGCGACGAUGCGUAGCCGACCUGAGAGGGUGAUCCGGCACACCGGAACUGAGACACGGUCCAGACUCCUACGGGAGGCAGCAGUAGGGAAUCUUCCGCAAAGGGCGAAAGCCUGACGGAGCAACGCCGCGUGAGUGAUGAAGGUCUUCGGAUCGUAAAACUCUGUUAUUAGGGAAGAACAAAUGUGUAAGUAACUAUGCACGUCUUGACGGUACCUAAUCAGAAAGCCACGGCUAACUACGUG
rnacentral:rRNA from 1 species